UACAGAGGGUGCAAGCGUUGCUCGGAUUUACUGGGCGUAAAGCGUACGCAGACGGCAAGGUCGGUCGAAUGUGAAAGCCCCGGGCUCAACCUGGGAAUUGCGAUGGAGACUGCAAGGCUUGAAUCUGGCAGAGGGGGGUAGAAUUCCACGUGUAGCAGUGAAAUGCGUAGAGAUGUGGAGGAACACCGAUGGCGAAGGCAGCCCCCUGGGUCAAGAUUGACGCUCAUGCACGAAAGCGUGGGGAGCAAACAGG
rnacentral:rRNA from 1 species